rnacentral:rRNA from 1 species
AAGAAGCGAAGCGGUGACGUGGAGCAAAACUUAGAAAAGACAGUCUCAGUUCGGAUUGAAGGCUGAAAUUCGCCUUUAUGAAGCCGGAAUUGCUAGUAAUGGCAGGUCAGCAUACUGCCGUGAAUACGUUCCCGGGCCUUGUACACACCGCCCGUCACACCAUGAGAGUUGGAAAUACCCGAAGCCUGUGAGCUGACCUUUUGGGGGGCAGCAGUCGAAGGUAGAGCCAAUGAUUGGGGUGAAGUCGUAACAAGGUACC